ensembl:snRNA U6 U6 spliceosomal RNA
GUGCUCGCUUUGGCAACACAUAUACUGAAAUUCGAACGAUACAGAGAUCAGCGUGGUCCCUGCGCGAGGAUGACACGCAAAUGUGUGAAACACCCCAUGUUUUU